rnacentral:rRNA from 1 species
UAACGGCGAGUGAACCGGGAAGAGCUCAAAUUUGAAAUCUGGCGUGCUCAGUGCGUCCGAGUUGUAAUCUAUAGAGUCGUUUUCCGUGCCGGACUGUGUCCAAGUCCCUUGGAACAGGGUAUCAAAGAGGGUGAUAAUCCCGUACUUGACACAAUGACCGGUGCUCUGUGAUACGUCUUCUACGAGUCGAGUUGUUUGGGAAUGCAGCUCAAAAUGGGUGGUGAGUUCCAUCUAAAGCUAAAUAUUGGCGAGAGACCGAUAGCGAACAAGUACCGUGAGGGAAAGAUGAAAAGCACUUUGGAAAGAGAGUUAAACAGUACGUGAAAUUGUUAAAAGGGAAACGAUUGAAGUCAGUCGUGACUGAGAGGCUCAGCCGGUUCUGCCGGUGUAUUCCCCUCAGUCGGGUCAACAUCAGUUUUGUUCGGUGGAUAAGGGCAGUUGGAAGGUGGCACCCUCGGGUGUGUUAUAGCCAGCUGUCGCAUACAUCGGAUGAGACUGAGGAAUGCAGCUCACCUUUAUGGCCGGGGUUCGCCCACGUUCGAGCUUAGGAUGUU